rnacentral:rRNA from 1 species
AAACUUUCCAUCGAUGAAGAACGCAGCGAAAUGCGAUAAGUAAUGUGAAUUGCAGAAUUCAGUGAAUCAUCGAAUCUUUGAACGCACAUUGCGCCCCUUGGUAUUCCGAGGGGCAUGCCUGUUCGAGCGUCAUU